rnacentral:rRNA from 1 species
AUUGAACGCUGGCGGUAGGCCUAACACAUGCAAGUCGAGCGAGCGGCGGACGGGUGCGUAAUGUUUGGGAAACUGCCUGAUGGAGGGGGCUAACUACUGGAAACGGUAGCUAAUACCGCAUACCAUCAGAUGUGCCCAGAUGGGAUUAGCUAGUAGGUGGGGUGAUGGCUCACCUAGGCGACGAUCCCUAGCUGGCCUGAGAGGAUGACCAGGCACGCUGUAACGGAGACGCGGUCCAGACUCCUACGGGUGGCAGCAGUGGGGAGUGUUGCACGAUGGGGGCAAGCCUGAUGCAGCCCUGCCGCGUGUGUGAAGAAUGCCUUCGGGUUGGAAAGCCCUUUCAGCGGGGAGGCGUUACCCGCAGAGGGAGCGCCGGCUAACUCCGUGCCAGCCGCCGCGGUAAUAC